rnacentral:rRNA from 1 species
UUGGAGGGCAAGUCUGGUGCCAGCAGCCGCGGUAAUUCCAGCUCCAAUAGCGUAUAUUAAAGUUGUUGCAGUUAAAAAGCUCGUAGUUGAAUUUCGGGAUCAGUACGCUGGUCGUGCCUUCGGUAGUAUGCACUGGUGUCACUGAUUCCUUCCUUCUGAAGAACCGUAAUGCCAUUCAGUUGGUGUGGCGGGGAAUUAGGAUUGUUACUUUGAAAAAAUUAGAGUGUUUAAAGCAGGCUCGCGCUUGAAUACAUUAGCAUGGAAUAAUGAAAUAGGACGUUUGAUCCUAUUUUGUUGGUUUCUAGGAUCGACGUAAUGAUUAAUAGGGAUAGUUGGG